AAUUUCAUCUAAAGCUAAAUAUUGGCCAGAGACCGAUAGCGCACAAGUAGAGUGAUCGAAAGAUGAAAAGCACUUUGAAAAGAGAGUUAAACAGUACGUGAAAUUGUUGAAAGGGAAGCGCUUGCAACCAGACUUGCGCGCGGCGGUUCCCCCUUCCUUUUGGUUGGGUUAUUCCGCCGUGUCCAGGCCAACAUCGGUUCUGGGGGUCGGUUAAAGGCCUGGGGAAUGUAUCUACCCUUCGGGCGUAGACUUAUAGCCCCGGGUGUCAUGCGACCUCCCGGGACCGAGGAACGCGCUUCGGCUCGGAUGUUGGCGUAAUGGUUGUCAGCGA
rnacentral:rRNA from 1 species